rnacentral:lncRNA from 1 species
AUGCUCAAGUGGGAUUUACUCCAGGUAUGCAAAGCUAGUUCAACUUAAGAACACCAAUCAAUGAAAUUUUCCAUAUCAAUAGCCAUGGAUUUUGUGAUGCCCGCAAUCCAAAGCUUGCCACGUUGCAUCCCAACCCUUUGUCGAUGGGGCCUCAAGUGUCUAGCCAUGUCCAGUUCUGCAUGGAAGCUGGAUGCAUAUGCCAGGCAGGGCAAGCUGUCUGCAGCUGCUGCUGGGAGGGUGGUGCAGAUUCAACAGUUGGAGACAUUGGUCACCUCAGCAUAGAUGUGGGCCCAGUCCAUGAUGCCAUUGGAGCAUGCCAAGCUAAGCCUGGUUGGAGAAAGUCAUCCUUCCUCUCAUAGAUUUGGUCACAUGACCUGGCCCCACAUAAGUCAGUGACUAACUAGCUAAUUUCUUUAAUUUCUAGGUAAUUAACUACAAAGUUAAGCCUCAAUAAACUGCCUAGCUAUUGCUGCAGAUUACCAUAGGUGUCACCUCCUUGGUGAUCACCAUCUACAUUGUCCUGUGUUCAGCUUAUUAGCUACUUUGUCCACACUUGGUUUGAAACCAUAUGGUGUUAGUAGUGGGCUAGACUGCACCAGCAGUCCAGGCAGCAGUAGUACUCUGGCGAGACCUAUCUGUAUACCGUGCCUCAUUAGGAAUGGGGGGAUGCCCUUCCUUAAAAAGUAAUGGCUCAGAGUCUAGGGGUGCCUCAGGCCCCAUGACCUUAUCUCGCAUAGGAAUACAAGCCCUAAAACCUCUUGUAACUCUGCUGCUAAGGGACUUAUACUCAGCAUACUCUGCUGUUCUAAGUAGAUGCCCCACUUUGCUAAAGUGGAUGUCUGUGCUGUCCCUAUCUUGGGGGUCUUUACCCAUGAAUGCAUCCAUCCUUCUAUUACUGUUUCUCUAUCAACAAAUAUUGGAGCUCAGCUCCCUUCCAUAGUUGGGACCAAAAACCUACUGGUGUACUCAGGCUCUCCAUGCACUGCUAUGGGCCCUAACCAAAGCUAUCUGUGAUCACAUGCAUAUCUAGCUUAAAUGGGCACCCCUGGUCGACUACCCAUAGGGCUUGUGCCUGCUAAAUAGCCGGCUUGGCUACCAGGAAGGCUGUCU